UGCGGAAUUUUGGUCAAUGGGCGAAAGCCUGAACCAGCGACCCCGCGUGAAGGAUGAAGGUUUUCGGAUCGUAAACUUCUGUGGUAAGGGAAAAAUGUCAUUGAGCAGUGGAAAGCUCAAUGGAGAGAUGGUACCUUAUUAGAAAGCCCCGGCUAACUACGUG
rnacentral:rRNA from 1 species